AUUGAACGCUGGCGGCAGGCUUAACACAUGCAAGUCGAGCGGUAGCACAGGGGAGCUUGCUCCUUGUGUGACGAGCGGCGGACGGGUGAGUCAUGUCUGGGAAACUGCCUGAUGGAGGGGGACAACUACUGGAAACGGUAGCUAAUACCGCAUAACGUCGCAAGACCAAAGAGGGGGAGCUACUGGCCUCUUGCCAUCAGAUGUGCCCAGAUGGGAUUAGCUAGUAGGUGGGGUAAUGUCUCACCUAGGUGACGAUCCCUAGCUGGUGUGAGAGGAUGACCGGCCACACUGGAGCUGAGACACGGUCCAGACUCCUACGGGAGGCAGCAGUGGGGAAUAUUGCGCAAUGGGCGCAAGCCUGAUGCAGCCAUGCCGCGUGUGUGAAGAAGGCCUUCGGGUUGUAAAGCACUUUCAGCGAGGAGGAAGGUGGUGAGCUUAAUACGUUCAUCAAUUGACGUUACUCGCAGAAGAAGCACCGGCUAACUCCGUG
rnacentral:rRNA from 1 species